CACGGGGGGAGCAAGCGUUGUUCGGAAUCACUGGGCGUAAAGGGCGUGUAGGCGGUCAAGUAAGUGGAAUGUGAAAGCCCCCGGCUUACCCGGGGAUCUGCAUCCCAAACUGCUUGGCUUGAGUACGGGAGAGGAUAGGGGAAUUCCUGGUGUAGCGGUGAAAUGCGUAGAUAUCUGGAGGAACACCGGUGGCGAAGGCGGCAUCCUGGACCAAUUCUGACGCUGAGGAGCGAAAGCCAGGGGAGCAAACGGG
rnacentral:rRNA from 1 species